AGUGAACGCUGGCGGUAGGCCUAACACAUGCCAGUCGAACGGCAGCACAGUAAUAGCUUGCUCUUACGGGUGGCGAGUGGCGGACGGGUGAGGAAUACAUCGGAAUCUACUUUUUCGUGGGGGAUAACGUCGGGAAACUUACGCUAAUAGCGCAUACGACCUACGGGUGAAAGCAGGGGAGCUUCGGACCUUGCGCGAUUGAAUGAGCCGAUGUCGGAUUAGCUAGUUGGCGGGGUAAAGGCCCACCAAGGCGACGAUCCGUAGCUGGUCUGAGAGGAUGAUCAGCCACACUGGAACUGAGACACGGUCCAGACUCCUACGGGAGGCAGCAGUGGGGAAUAUUGGACAAUGGGCGCAAGCCUGAUCCAGCCAUACCGCGUGGGUGAAGAAGGCCUUCGGGUUGUAAAGCCCUUUUGUUGGGAAAGAAAAGCAGCAGGUUAAUACCCCGCUGUUCUGACGGUACCCAAAGAAUAAGCACCGGCUAACUUCGUG
rnacentral:rRNA from 1 species